rnacentral:rRNA from 1 species
UACACAUGCAGUCGAACGGCAGCACGGGGGCAACCCUGGUGGCGAGUGGCGAACGGGUGAGUAACAUAUCGGAACGUGCCCUGGAGUGGGGGAUAACUAGUCGAAAGAUUAGCUAAUACCGCAUACGAUCUACGGAUGAAAGUGGGGGAUCGCAAGACCUCAUGCUCGUGGAGCGGCCGAUAUCUGAUUAGCUAGUUGGUGGGGUAAAGGCCUACCAAGGCAUCGAUCAGUAGCUGGUCUGAGAGGACGACCAGCCACACUGGGACUGAGACACGGCCCAGACUCCUACGGGAGGCAGCAGUGGGGAAUUUUGGACAAUGGGCGCAAGCCUGAUCCAGCAAUGCCGCGUGAGUGAAGAAGGCCUUCGGGUUGUAAAGCUCUUUUGUCAGGGAAGAAACGGCGNGGGCUAAUAUCCCUUGCUAAUGACGGUACCUGAAGAAUAAGCACCGGCUAACUACGUGCCAGCAGCCGCGGUAAUACGUAGGGUGCAAGCGUUAAUCGGAAUUACUGGGCGUAAAGCGUGCGCAGGCGGUUGUGCAAGACCGAUGUGAAAUCCCCGGGCUUAACCUGGGAAUGGCAUUGGUGACUGCACGGCUAGAGUGUGUCAGAGGGGGGUAGAAUUCCACGUGUAGCAGUGAAAUGCGUAGAGAUGUGGAGGAAUACCGAUGGCGAA